GUGCUGCUUGGGUUAGAGUGGUGGUGAGAUUGGUNACCUCAUGGGAACNCCNCGUGUUGCACCCC
rnacentral:rRNA from 1 species